rnacentral:rRNA from 1 species
AUUGAACGCUGGCGGCAGGCCUAACACAUGCAAGUCGAGCGGUAACAGGAGAAAGCUUGCUUUCUUGCUGACGAGCGGCGGACGGGUGAGUAAUGUAUGGGGAUCUGCCCGAUAGGAGGGGGAUAAACUACUAGGAAACGGUGGACUAACUACCGCAUGACGUCUACGGGACCAAAGCAGGGGCUCUUCGGACCUUGCGCUAUCGGAUGAACCCAUAUGGGAUUAGCGUA